AUGCAGUUCUCUUCCCGUGAGGCUCGCCGUUCUCGAUCCCGAGCUCCAGGGCUCCUCAAUGAUGACUCCGGAGAACAAGCGUGGCCACCUGGAGGCGUAGAAAGGAGGGCAACAGCAGCGGCGCCGUGGACGGCCGGAGUCCUGCUCCUCCCCUUGUUCUCGUCCUUGUCUGCGUUCAGGCGCGUCUAUCAGCGUCGGCCGAUGCGGGUGUCACGUGCAGCUCGGCCCAUGGGGACGAGAAGUACGUCCCACUGGACAGCGCUGUAUUGUGUGGAAUCCUAG
rnacentral:rRNA from 1 species